rnacentral:rRNA from 1 species
UACGAAGGGGGCUAGCGUUGUUCGGAAUUACUGGGCGUAAAGCGCACGCAGGCGGAUUUAUAAGUCAGGGGUGAAAUCACGGGGCUCAACCUCGGAAUUGCCUUUGAUACUGACUAUCUUGAGUCCGGGAGAGGUGAGUGGAAUUCCUAGUGUAGAGGUGAAAUUCGUAGAUAUUAGGAAGAACACCAGUGGCGAAAGCGGCUCACUGGCCCGGUUCUGACGCUCAUGUGCGAAAGCGUGGGGAGCAAACAGG